AAGGCUUCAGCUGAAGGGGAGGGGCUCUGAAUCCACCAGAGGCUCCAUUAAUAGCCAACUCUCCAUCCUAACUAUUAUCCCGCAUAAAGUGUUUAUAAAAGGGAACACAACUGGGCUAAUGUUGGCUCAAAUCAGACAGGAUGAUAUAGGCUACCAGAGAGAGAGAGAGAGAGAGAGAGAGAGAGCGAGGGGAGUAAGAGAAAAGAGAGAGAGGGGAUUUAAAGUUUUCCUCCUUUUUUAACAGGACUGGCUAAAAAGAACAUCAAACCCCUCUUUUGAGUCUGGCUAAACCCGGAUAAAAGUGGAUUACAAACUUUCAGGAAAACCCUCCAGCCAGUUCAGGUUGAAGAGAGAAAGGUGAGUUUCUUGUUUUACCUCUUAAACUUCACUGUAGUGUCUCCUCGUAACACACAGCUUUGAGGUUGAGUUUUCACGCACUCCUUACUGUCUGCAUAAGCUGAUAUUGUGCGCACAGAUUGAAGGUGUUCGGGGUCGGUUGUUAUUCAGUCAAAGACAGACCAAGGACCGCCCCAACAUCUGUCCGUCCCUGUCUGUCAGAGCGGCCCGCGCGCUGAUUGAUGGAGCCCACUUACGUCACCACUAUUUCCAUCCACGAGGACAGCAGACAGGAAGAGCUGCAGCUUCUAAAUGAGCACUUAUUAGCUUUAAAGUAUGCACGAUUAAUUUCUAUACAAAUACAGCAAAUAAACAGUCCGCAUGUCAAAUGAAAACUGCUCUUUUAACUUGGGCUCUGACGCACUUUUGAAAAGUGUUGUUGCACUUUUUAAAUGAUGUUUUCUACUGCAAAGUCAGAUGCAACUGAACAGUGCAGGACCAUGUUAUAACGCAUCUGAAUCUUGACAUUACUGUGUGCAUAUCAGCUCAUGUGCAGCCCUGUAAACAAUUUAUUUUAGGACUUAGAAAAUAAACUAUAAAAAGUGCAGUUAGGAAAAUAAGACAUAACCCGUAAGACUCAAAUUGCAUAAUUUUGCUCUCUUCCUUGCUCCAAAGCUGAUUUUAAUGUAGAACUGCAUGACUAAAAACUAGAAACAAAAAUGAACCCACUUUUUACAAUUCAUGAUUUACUUUUAAUGCAGAAAUGGGAGUUUUUCUGUCCUGGUUUUUAGAGUAAGGCGCCUGUUUUGCUCACACACACACAAACACACACACACACACACACACACACACACACACACACACACACACACACACACACACACACACACACAGAGCAUUGACAGCAAAGCAGCUUGUGCAGGGUCUGAUCCUGGACCAGCAGGGGGGGACAUGUGGCUCAAGAGUCAGGUAUACAGUCUGUCCAUGCUUCAAGAUAACUCUAAGUGCACUGAUAUGUAUAUAUUUUUAUGUAUCUUUUAACUCAAAAUCACGUUUUUUAUUUCAAUGAGCAUCAUUUGACACACACUCACUGCAGUUUUUGGAUAUUAUUUGUCUUAAAAAGUGUAUAAAAUUUCUCUCCUUCUCCUUACAAGUCGCAGAAAUAACACUAAUUUUUGUAUAGCAGACAGGACUUGCUACACUGUCCUUUCAGCCUCAUGACACAGUCUAUAUUAACAAUGUCUUCGGUUCACAUUUACUUCUAAUUUCCAGCAGCAGCCAUGUGUGAUCAGGGCGUUAUGAUCCAAAUUGCUCGCUACAGUAGUCACAUUCCCCGUAAUGCCACCACCCGUGUCCGUGUUCAUGUAAGACAAAAGCUGAACACACAAACAGUUGUUUCCCUCCCAGCCCCCAGCAUGUAUACAUGAAGCCCCUCUCCCACAUACUGAGGCAUUGUGACAGCGUGAUGACAUGUCAGCCUGUUUCCUUCUCUGCUGUGUGACGAUCCUCAAACAGACAUCAUGCAUGUAGUCCUCGAGUAUAUUUACAUACAUUAUUUUCCACUUCUCUUUGUCUUUUUUCAGGUCUGACUGUAGGAUCUGAGGGACAAUUGUUUGAGAAAUAAUCAGGGUGAUUCUGCAGAAGAGCCAAAUAAGGUGAGGGACUUUGAAAAGUUUGGAAACUAAAUCAUAGCACAAACACUUCACUUGGAAAAAAAAUUGACAUAAAAUGCUAACAUGGUGUUCCCAUGAGAAUACAACUAAAUACUGUGAAGAAUAUGACACCGUUUAAUGCGGCAAUCUUGCAAACUGGUGUGAUUAAAUAGGAGUUAGAUGCAAUUUUGAUUACACCUGCAUGCAAAAUAUGAAUGAUGCAUAUAAUAGCAGGUGUGUUUUCAACACUUUGAAUGUGCCAAUUAAAUAUUCAAAUAUUUUGUUGAUAAUUUAAUGAAAAAUAAAAUUCAAAUCAAAUAUGGUCCUCGAGGUUAGUGUGUUCUCAUUUUGUCGAGAUUUUUGCACGAUCUUUGCACAUCAAAAACAAAACAUGCAGCGUCUUUUCUAUUUUUUGUCACAUUUAGUUUUAUUUAAGUGCAGCACCUUAACUAGUUUAAUCACCACUGCUGCUAAAUCCUUUUGCAGGAACCAUUACAGCAAACUUACACACUGCAUCGUGACUUUCUGUCCUUGUUUGACACCUGCGCACAUGUUGAAAAACAGCUCUGAUGCUGCAGAGAGAAGUUUUUUCAAUAUUAAAAAAUAUAAUGCAUCAAAUUUAGGUCAUUGUCAGUUUGUUUGAUUUAACAAAAUUGAUACAUUUCAGUCACUUGCAAAGAUGCAUUUUGAAUUCUCUAAGUUGUACUGAAUUGGAUCAAGUAAAAUCAUCAUGACAUAAACCGAGAUUUUAAUGCCUACCUCUUAACAUUCAUGAAUUAUUAAUGCUGUGCUGCAUAUUUUGGCCUGUGGCUAACCACAUGAGUUAUUUUGCUGCCGUAAACCUCUGAUGUCAAAAGGUACGAGCUCCCCAGGCGUGCAAGCACCACACGUUUUCUGUAAGUGGUCUUUGGUAUUUAACGUCUUUGUCUGACAGAACUCCUCUUCUUCGAUAUUUUAAUGUUUGCAGUAUCUAGAAAAAAAAAUCCUUUUCCCUCAGUGUCAAUUUCAAAGAAGUGAGAUCUGUACGAUUGCGAUAAUACUUCUCUUCAUAAUCUGGAGUAAUCUUCAAUCAAUGAUAGGUCCUAUCAGAUUCUGCAGACUCAUUGACAGCCUGAAUAUAAGAAUAUAUCAUAAGAAAUUAAUAAAGAAGAAGCUCUAACUUUGACAUGAGCUAUAUCUCUACAUCGCACAGAUAAGACUGCAUAAUUAAAAUGCCAAGAGUGAGUGUGCAGAGAGAAAGAGUGAGAGGGGUUUGAUAUUUUAUAGAGAUUUACUUUAGAUUUUAAAGAGAAAAAAAUGUGUUGCUGUACUUUUGACAAUGCAAUUAAAGGUUUGUAAUCCCCACCUGAGUUUUUUAUUUUAUUUUGUCAGUUUGGGCGAAGGAUGUGCUGAAAUGCUGUGCAGCCGAGACAGAUGCAGGUUUAUUAAAGGGCUGAAGUCUCACAGGGAUCUGCUGUUAUUUUUCAGCAUUGAGAAGCUGAAAGCAGAGGGGAAACUUCAGCUUGUUUACAUGAACUGUGAAAUAAUUGUUCAGCUGAGUACAUACAGAGCAUCAAGAAGCAAAGAAAGCUUUUAUUCUCUGCCAAAAAAAAGGCCAAACUUUUCCGAGAUUUCCUGCACCCUCGCUAAAUAUCUCCCCCAACUCGGCGAAAUAAAGUGACAUAUUUCAUAUCUCAGAAACACCAGCCUCCCUGACAUGCACGCUCCUUCCCUCUCCUCCUCCCUCUGCCUUUUGUUUUCUCUGACACGUGCUCUCCAAUUAGCAUUUUUCAGCCAUUAAGGAGGAGAGAGAAGCAGCCAAAUGUUUGUCUCACCAAGAUCCUUUUUCCCCCUACAAGACUCUCUGAGCCAAUGUUCAGAAAAAUAAAUUAAUAAAACAGCAAGACAGACUCAAUAUUAUCCUCAAUGUUAACAUGAUCUUCUUCACAUAACAAUUACCCAAAGCUUUGUGUGGGAAAGUGACGUGACAAAGCAGCCAGCGUUUACGAGAGCUGAUGACAGUCUGCGUUUGGAGCAAUUAAAAUGAUUAAAAUUAGUUCUUAUGAGAGAACACAAGAACUAGGAUUAUUUUCUUCCUCUGUGACAUCCACUUAAACAUUUUCAUUUUGUAAAUAUUUCCACUCCUCAGAUAAAGAAAUAGAUAUGCGUGCACAAAAGGAGUUUUCUCCAACCUUUUGUGUCUCCUGAGGAUUACAUGCAAAAACUGAAUCGCUCUGUGUGGUUUUUUGGUGAAGCUGCAGUUAGAAGUCGAGAUUUUUUGCCAUCAGUCCUCUUACAUGUCAAAUUAGCACGUCCUAAUCUUCAGCUGUAUUCCUACAUUUAAAUCUGCAAAUCCCAAACUGCUCAGAUCCUCUGCUGCAGACUGUAGCAGCAGAAAUCUGUCACUGCUGCUGUGCUGUACAUUAAGGGUGAAAAUGCCUCUAAAAAGGUGCUUUUGUGACAUUAAAAUGACUUGUGUGCACAGCGCAUGUCGAUGCGUGUACUUUGAGGCGUAUAUUUAUGAAUAGGAACCUUUAAUUAGGGCUUGUGUUUCCUCCCUAGUCAAAUUGAGGGAUGGUCCUCGCCGACAUUCAUUAAUGAUAAUCACCAAGAGCGAUGGCGUAGCUACAGGCCAAGUCUCAGGGGAGCCGACACUUGAAAAGAAGCAUUAAAUUACACAGAGGGACUCUUUAAUUGCAAAAAGGAAAAUAUAUAGCCAUCAUUGUUAAAUAUGAUCUUUUGUAAGCCGUUACUGGUUCAAGGAUUUGUCUAAGGUUUGCUUAUCCUCAAACGCUUUCAAAGGAACCUGCAGCUACAUUUCAGCGAGUAAUGCACCACAGGGCCCUUUUUGAAAACACUUACUGUUACCCUGAUGGGUUUCUUUCUGCACACCAAGCAAAAGCUGCACGAUUUAUAUGUUCCCACUUUUUCAUAGAUUUCACAGGAAAUCAAAUACUAGAUGUAUGUCAAACUAGAUCCACAGUUAAAAAUGCGAUUAAAAAAAAAAAGAUUAUCUGCAGGUAGUUUGGAAAUAAAGUAACUGGUUAAUUGAGCCUUGGUCUGUUUGACACAUACAGGCUUUUGGUUCCGCUAUCACAUAUUGGUGUUACUGAAGCUGUGUGAUAUCAGACGGGACCCAAUGCACAAGUUUUACAGCUUUGGGAACAAUAAACUUGAAAAAUAAAAAGGUGAUAAUUAUCUAAGCCGGAUAACUUUACUGAAUAAUAACACCGGGCUUUCAUGAAAAAAUGUUCAUAUUUCACCAUGCUUACAUUCAGAAUGUCUAUGCUUACAUUCUGUAAUCAUAGAGGCUGAUGUAAAAGGACAACGUCAGAGCAGGAUGGUUUAAUGUUUAAGGGUCAAUAACAAACUAUAAGUGAGAACUAGGGCCAACAGGAUUGUAUUUGAAGUUCUGACAUUAAAAUGUCAAAAUUCUGUGAAGAAGGUCAGAAUUUUAAUCUCAUAUUCUAAGAUCAUCUAAGAUCUUCUAAGAUCAUAGUCAGAAUUCUCAGAUUAGAGCCAGAAUUCUAGGCUUUAAAUCAGAAAUUUGGAUUGAAUCAGAGUUCUAAAUUAACCCCUGAGAAUUUUAAGAUUCAGGUCCACAUUUGAGGAAAUUCUGAGAUUUGAGUCAGUCUUCUGACUUUUAAAGUUAGAGUCCUGGAAAUGAAUUCAAAACUUUGAUUUUUCUAAAGACUUCUAUGAAUUACACCAGAAUUGUGGAAUGAAAAGCAGAAUACUGAAUUCUAAGAGUCAGAAUGCAGAAGUUUAUGUCAAAGUUCUGGGAUUAAAGUCAGAAUUCAAAGAUCAGAGUAAAAAAAUCUAAAGUUAAACUCAGUUUCCUGACUUUUAUCUAAAAGUUCCAAGAACAAAAUCAGAUCUCACAAUUUUGUCUUUGAUCCUAAAAUUCUAAAUCAGGACAUAAAAAAAUUCAGCAGUGACGCUGAUCCUAUCACUGACAAAACUGUGCGAUAGCCACCGAGAUAGACUUAGGUUUCUGAUCAUAUUUAGCUGUUGCUACAUACCUUAUUUAUUCACAUAUUUGGUUUGAUUUGCCCCGCUGUCACACUGAAUCUUUUGUCCUAUGGCUAAGGUGAAGGAGUUAAAGACAGACUGAAUUACUUGAAGUUGAGAGCUGCUCUUUGGGAAAUAGAUGGGCUGAAUACACACAGUUGCGCUCAUACACUCCUAAAACUCCUGACCUAAUUGCUCGUUCUCACUCAACUAAUUAAUCACAGCUGACGUAACAUAGUGACAAGGUUAGGUAGGUGACAUUCCCCAAAAACUACCUCUCUUUCUGCAUAUUCCUCACGGCAGGACUUUUUCAGCUUACUGCCUUGUCCUUGCUUUUUUCUAUUUCAUGUAUUUUUUUAUUCUACUUCCCCUCCUCUUCUUCCUCCUCUCUCUCUCUCUCUCUCUCACUCACUCACUCCCUCUCUUUUCUGUCUUUCAUUGCUUCAUUUGCCCAGUCCUCAUUUUUCCCCCCUCACUUAUUCUUGUCUUUCUUGUCUUCAAAUCGCACUUUUUUUCUGUUUUUCUCUCUCGUUUGAAUCCAAGUGGGGAGCAUAACUUAGCUCACAUCUAUUUUUACCUGUUAUCAGGUCUCGUGUUGGAGGAGGGGGGUCUUUGCAGAGGUGAGAGUGGGCAUGCUAGGAGAGAAGGAGGGUUUGGGGCGGGGUCACAAUGCUUCAUUAAUCAAAAAGAAUGACACUCAUGUCGUCCCUGACAACCAUCCUGCCAGCCUCAUGUCUCUCCCCUCCUCCUUCAUCCCACUCAAACAGGACAAGUUUAGUGGCAGGGAGGGAGGGGGAGAACGAAAGAAGGAGAGAGAGAGAGGGGGAAGGGGGGUUUAUUAAUCAAGCAUCUCAGAUUAAUUGUUAUGAAGUGUCAACUGUAAAUUCUCCAUUUGGAUUUAAUAAUCUUGGAGGUAGACUUAACAAUCUCUGUCGUGAUUUGAGUUUUAUUGAAGAGGCUGCGUAAAGGAGGGAGAAAGGGAGAGAGAUGUAUGACACAAAUAGCUUCUCAGCGGACAGUCCCUCUCUGUGUGACAGUUAUGAAAUACAAUUAUCAGCCAGAUCUGCUUAAGAAUUCAUCAACUGCACCCCUGCUUUCCAAAGAGAGAAAAAAACCCUACAUACAAAAGCUAGUCUUAACUGAUAAGACUCCUCUUUUCUCUGCAGCCCUUAAACUAUCAUUUCAAUUUCUCGCCAUCUCCGACAUGUUAAGUCGCUGUAAAGGUGCUCUAUAUUGCUUUGAAAGGCCCUCACGCUGUAUAUUAAAGCAUAAAUCACCAGGUAAUCAGGGAAUAUGGUAAAUGACACACUGCAUGCAAAUCAGCCUGAUAGUGAGUAGUUUGUUUGAAAUGUAUUACCCGUUGCUUUGCAUCAGGGUCAGUAAUAGCAGUUAAUCUCCUUCGGCGGUGAAAAUAUACUGUCACCGAAUCGUACGGCGCCCUGUCAGCGCUCAAAAGUAACCGAAUCAUAAAACGCAAAUGAUUUCAAUCAAUUGUCGUCUAAUUGCAGUCAUAUCUUUUGAAAUAAACGAAGAACAGCCACUAUGUAGGUUGACAGUGUGCAUAAAAUUAGCAUAGCUUAGCAUAUUGCAACAGCAUUAAUGUUAGUUUUAUUGAAAGCUCAGGUUCUCCUGAUAUUUCAUAUUUUGGCAUGCUACUCUUAAAGGAACAAGAACAAAAUGAGCCACCUGAAAAUGACAGAACUGGAAACUUUCAUUAAGAUGUUUUAACCAAACAGGGUUAAUUUCGUCCUCGGAGUGCUGCGUUUGGCCUGGUUUCUAUCCAGGAACAUUUAGUCUGAUCCAGAGAAGCUCUUUCCUAGGAAAAGUAAUCUGUGCUGACAAAAGACAGAUCUGAGGGAUAGAAAAGGCCUCUGUCUCUGCUCCCAGUAAUAAUGGGAAGUCUUUAUGUGACAAUUUUGGGGAAAAGCUGCAGGAGUUAAACAUGUGCCUUUAACUACACGUCCCCCUCCGCCAGAUAUCAUCCUGAUCAAUGACGCCGCCGCUCGGUGAGGAAUGACGUUAGCCGGAGACGCUGUAAAUGUUUUAGCUAUCAACACUGCUUCAUCCUCCGUCACACAACACCACGGACGAUCUUUCACUGACACUACACGGAGGCCUCGCCCUGGUUCAGUCCCAACACAUCUUCUCUCAUCAGUAAUUGCAGACGUCUGCUGGUGACGUGCGACUUCUGAGCAGUUCCUUCACUUCGGGCUCAUCUGUUUCGGUGAGGCGGGAGCGCUAAUUCAAUGAGAUGGUGGAGAAAUUUCCAAAUAGUGUUGUGACAGUUGAGCACGGCAGGAGGCCAGACUCUAGGCCGCCCCUUAGUGUGUUUACAUGCACUGUAAAAAUGUGAUUAAGACUGGAGGAGUGCAACACAAAUUAACAACUAUCUAUUAUGUAAACCAUUCAGAUCUAUUACAUGAAUGAAGCUUGUAAUCAGGGGAUGUAAAACUUGAUUAAAGGAGCACGAUUAAACAUCUCUUUCAUAUUCCUCCUGUCAAUUAAUCACUCUGUUAAUAGAGCAGUGUAAAGUAGUUUGACACAAGUGAUGGGUGUAAGGACAGCUCACUCUGCAAUAGAUCAGACAGUGUGUGAACUGGCAGCAUACAGCAGACCAGACUUAGCAGGAGUUAAGGAUUCAGUUCACACACAGUGGUGUACUCGAAAAGGGGGCUGGGGGGCUCACCGAUCUUCUUAAAUGCUACUUUGGUAAAUGAUGAUUAUUAAAACGCCCUCUCUAGUGCCUUCUUUGUGCAAAAUGCAUCAAAACAUACCACCUUAUCAAUAAAAAAAGGAAGCGGGUAGUAGCAAAACCUGGUCUUAUGAGAGGGCAUGCUAGACAGGGUGAAGCUGUCACAUCGUAUGUCUAGAAGUCACACAGCUGUAAAGUUGUCUGUGUCUUGCUAACGUGUUUGUCGAUUGUUUUGGUAAGCGAUAUAAUAGCUCAACCAGGGCAGCCCAAUAGAAAUGCUCCCACACUGCGCUCAGUCAAACCAACCACACUGUCUGGGCAGCGUCAUGUGGUUACAGCGACUGCUCUUAGUGGCAGUGCUGACUCAAACAAACGUCGACCAAUGACCAGCCAGAACAGAAAACAGACAUCCAACCUCUUUCAUUGUCUCUCUCACCACAUAAACAAUUGAGAAAGACCCAAUUUAUGCGGUCUCGAGGUUUCAGCUUUUGCUUUGGUGUUCAUAUGAUAUAAUGUUUCACAAGAAGGCGCCCAGUGUGAGCAGCAGGCGAGACAGUGAGCGGUCCAGCAUGUUGUUUUUUACAUGAGAGGAAUGAAUCAGGACUGAAGAAGAAAAAGACGAGCCCUGACGCAAGAGAGAGAGGGAGAGGGAGACUAUGAUGUGUUGCCAUGGUUAUGCAGACGCUGUGCAAAGUAUCGACAAACAUGCACGUUAGGCAAAAGAAUCAGUAUGAGGAGCAAAAAUGCACCUGAUGAUAAUUUGUUUGCUGAAAAUAUUGUUCAAUGUUGGAAAAAUACAAGAAUGGAUGAUCCAAGCCUCCACCCAGCUGCCCCCCCACUCUAUGCAUCUGCCCCUGUGGUCAAGGACACCCAUAUCAGUGGACGUCAGGGUGGGCCCAAUCCAUCAGAGAGCUGUGGGUAAUGGAAUCAACCGGUGACAAUGAUCAUCAGCACCGCAAACAAUGGCCCAUAAACAUCCCCUGACAAGUGGUCAAAUGCAGGCGAGGCAGGGUGGGGGUUGGGCAGAGGAGGGUAUGAGGGAUUGUUUGCAGCCAUGAGAGUGUGUUUAUGUCUGCAGACACGUUUGUGAGUCAGUCAGACUGGCUGUAACACAAGGCAAAGCGAUGUGGCGAAGUAGCUACGAAGAAAGACAUCUGGAUGUGCUACCUCUGGAAACAAAUGUCCUUCAUAGGUCAGAGUUCAGGCAUGCCGCAGCUCAUUGUUGAGAGUUUACUUUCCCUCACUUCUCUUUAUUGUUUUCUUUAAUAUGGGUUUUAUAUCAGAUCUCCCGGAGUGAGGGUGAAAGAAAUUGCAGAGAAAGAUUUAUGUCUGCACCUUUACCUUUUCUUAUUCAGUGUAGGAAAUUACAAAACGGAUAGACUUGAACCCGGAUUAAACACUCCUUGUUCAAGCCUAAAACCGCUUGCUUUUGCUGAAAUAGUAAAGUAAGAGUCUCUUUUGUCAGCGCUAAAUAAAUAAAAAAACCCAAUUAGAGAGAAGUUACAGAUUUCAAAGAAAGCAGGAAGGAGACUUUUCUCUCUUUUUUUUUUCAUGCCGAGUUUCCAUCGCAAGAAGUAGUUGUUGCUUUUGUCAAGCCUGGUGUUUCGUCACUCCAGUUUACUUGUCAGCUGGUUUCCGUCUCUACAACACACACACACACACGCACGCACACAUUUAAUUAGCCAUCAUUUGUCUCAGCUUUCCCUCUUUUUCCACUGUUUAUCCAAACGUCAGGAAUGACACGGGCCAAUUAGUGCAAUGAAAUAGUUUAACCCUCUCUAACACUUGGAACAGUGAAAACCAACGGGGAUAUUUGCUCACAGCUCAAGGACGUGUUUGUGUGUGUGUGUGUGUGUGUGUGUGUCGGUGUUUGUGUGUGCUGAGGUGUGAAAUAGGGGUUCAAACAAAGAGAAAGCACAACUGGAAAAAUUUGGUUUACACUUGAUAUAAACCCACCACAUAUUAAGCCUCACAAGCACAUGUACAAAACCUGUGCAAACCUGUAUAUGUGUGAAAAAAACGGUUCAUUUCAAAACAGUUUUAAAACCUGCUAUUUGAGUACAAAGGUUCAACCAAAGUGCUCUUAAUACUGUUAAGUUGAGCUUUUUUGUUUUUUUGGCACCAGAGGGUCUUUAGUGCUUGUUCCUAAAAAUAAAGAAACCAUAAAAUACAGUUUAUGAAUUCUUACAAAUGCGUUGUAGAUCAUAUAAUUGGUAAUUACCUUGAACUGCUGUCACGUUACAAAUUCGCCUAAAGUCAUGCCAAAGUAUGUUGGAGAGCUGGGCGAUCAAUCGGGUUUCAAUUUCAGGUACGAAUAUAGUCCCCCAUGAUCAGAUUAGGUACCUCCUCCAUUUCUACCUUAACAGCACAGUGUGUUCUCCACCUCUUUCACUUCAGCAUCAUGAGUUCAGAUCAGUGUGCAUCAAAGUUUGGGAGUGUGAGAAAGUUCGUGAUUUAAUUAUGAACUACCAUGCAGCUUCAGGUGGAGAGAGGAGAGGAGCAGGAGGAAGAAGGUGUGUGUCUGAAAAGCCAAGGGAUGAUAGAGAGGCUGGAGCAAUCACAAGCCUGAUUGAGCAAACACUUAACCUGAGUGCAUAUCAUCAUGAAAUAUAAGCUGUGAUGAAAUAUAAUUGGUAGUAGAGCAAAGAUACUUUGGAGUUAAAUUCCUACUUUCUUUUAUUUAGUAUUAUCAUCAAAAUGAAGUCAAAAGCUCUGAAUGAAGUGAAGAAUUGACUCUUGGUCAGUAAUGAUGCAGCCCAAGCAUGCUGUAAGAACCAAAGUGAAUUUUUCUAUACCACUCACAAAUAUUGCUACAUGCUGUCAUAAAACCAUAUAAUUGCGUCUAUAACACUUUAAAUUCAUGCGCCUCUGAUGCAUUGUAAGUGGUGGGUUUUAUAUAAAGUGUUUCUCUGUCAUUCAAUGGCUCAAUAUUAUCCUAUUUCAGGAUCAUCACACAAAAGAAGGCUUUGUUAUUGGCACACAUCACGAGAUGGUGUGAUCCAGAUAAUCAUUAUUUCAUAUUUUGUCAUUAGCAGCGAGCUAAAUUGACCCUGAGGUUGGCGAGCACUUCAGAAACGUAGAAAUCCAGGGCAACAGCUGGAUAAUGGUUGCUGCAGAGUGAUUUACUAAUUGUCUCCAGGAUUCAGAUUAAUAAUUGGCAAAGCUUUAGCACAAGUGCACAUCUAAGUACUCUUUGUCACUCACUUGUAUCUGCAGGAAAAAAAAAAAAAAAGCGGGCUGAGACGAUAUCAUUAACAGUCUCUCCAAAUUGAAACAGUCAUCAAGAGUGUCUUUUAAAUGUCUCCGGGAGCUUCUUCUUUUUCUGUUGAGUGCAAAUGACAUCUCGCUCAUUUUGCUGGUGGCAACAUGACUGAUGUGUUGAAUAAGAAAGUCCGUUUUGACGCGUUUGAAGGCUGCGGGUUUUUUGAAGUAUAUGAUUCUGAAGUGGCGGCAUAUGCUUAGCGAGAUAAGUCAUUUGACACGCAGACAUCACAGCCCUGCAAAUCUUUCGUCUGGCUGCCUUGAGUGUCCACGUCAGGCGCUUUUUCAAGAACACUUUACGACUGUCACAACUGACUGUCAGAGCGCAAACCACACAAGCAAACGAGCCUCAUUUUGAACACAGAUUAAGACAGCUGUCAUAUCAAAAAGUGUAAAUUCAUCCAGACUAAAAAUACACUUAAUUUCAUCUUAGGCGCUUUAAAAAUUAAUUUCCUAUUUAGGCACCAAAGAAUUUUCCUUUUUAGCAUCAGUUUGUUCAUUAGAGUAAUUAAAUUAAGUGCUCAUCCUCGGGAGGGAAUCAAGAUUUAACGCAGGAUUUAUUGAAAGCAACGCAGCAAUAACACAGCCACUCCAGUGAUGGAGAAGCUUCCCCUGCUGAUACUUCUCCCCCUGAAUAAGACAUUUGACUGAGACACCAACACUACCAUGCAGACAGAGUGUGCACACAAGUACGUGCUAACACACACAGAUGGGGUCAGAGCUGCAAACAAAGUCGCUGACAUUGUGGCACUUCUUUGGCAGCGUUGUGCAGGUGUCGUCUGCAAACAGGCUUCUGAAUAAAUGGAUCUGAAAUGAUUUACCUAGGGUAUCUGCCACCUGAGCACAGACACACACACACAACCCAGGCUACUUCCCCUCCUCUGCACAGACGCUGACGCAAACACACACCAAACACUGGGAGGGGAAAAAAAGAGAGGAAUCUAGCAGAGCAGCAUCCUAUUGUGUCGUCCUGACUCACAUUAUCUGACAAAUGCACAGAUUUACCAACGUGAGCUUCAUCCCAGAGGUUACACUCUGCUCCUGUGAUUUGAGCUGAUUUAUACACAUUUGUUUUCAGAUAUAAUGGAAAAUAUGACUGAGGUGGCGCUAAGAAUAGACCAUCCUCUGACCUCAGCGUCUUCAGCUGGCUCUGCAGCAUUAUCAGGUGAAAUAUCCGCUAUUAUACACUAACAGCAAGCGACGGCUCCGCGGCGGCACAGAGGACGAGUGGCUCUGGGCGAGACAUCCGGAUCACAGCCGCUGAUGUCACCUUUAAGCCGUCUGCAAUCAUCCCGGAGAAGGAAACACAACAAUGUGGUUUUUUGGUGAUAAAAUGCAGUGUGUGAGUUCAUAAAUAACACAUAUGUCAACUGUUGUUGUUCAAGCUGAACAUGCAAACAUAAAACCAACCUGAUAUCAAGCUUCGUCUUUGUCUGAUUAUGAACAACAUAUUUUUUGACAUAGACGGUAAAAAUGUGGUGACUUAGAGGGUUUAGACAAAAGGUGAAGUCCAUUUUUGGCCAUUUUUUUAUGAAUGGCUGACUCAUAUUUUUACCUAAAUUUUCCAGCUCCAGAGUAUCGCCUUUAUUUUCCAGUGUGCCUGUUUACAAGCUAAUUUUCUACUUUGACUUUUGAACCUUGACUAUUUUAUUUGAUGGACAGUUGAAAAAUAUUUGGGUGGAAAGAGAAGGGCGUGACAUGCAGCAAAAGGCAGUUAAAGCCUGCCGCCGUCUCUCCUGACUGGAUGCUUGCUUUAACAACACAACAAAUCUGGCGCCACACAAACAAAACUAUAAAUUUCAUCAGAUUAGUGCGGCUUUCAUGUGAGUGUGCAUGAGUCAUUUUGCAACCACAGUUUAUUUUAUGUUUAACCUUUUUUAAACAGGUGCUAAAGCCCGUUCAACUACCCUGAAUAAGUUUACCCUCCUGAGAAAUAAGGCUGGUGCAGAAAUGCUACACUGCAGUUCCUUGAGGGUCCACUUGAGGCUGCACCAAAUAAAAAUCAGAAAAGCUGAAUGGAAGAGCGUCUUCAGUGUAAGUGUUUUUUUUCACAGCGUAGUGACACAACCCACGGUCCACAUGAUCUGUUUACCUGAUCAAAACAAACCGUGUUAGCAACUGAAGGGGCGGCUGAGCUGAAAUAACAAACUCUAUACACAUCACUGUGUCCGCCGGUUAUUUUAGACUUUUGUUUCUUAUUAUUAUGCACCACUGAGAUGCUAAAAUAAGAAAACUCCAAAUGCAUCAGUGAUUGGUAACAUCAUAGAGCAUGUAUGUGCAUCUGCAAACCAGUGUUUAAGGUGUGUUUGGGUCAGAGUCUCCUUAAAAUUAGCUUGAUUAAGAGGCAGAAUUGGCCCUAUCUGCAGAAAACUGUAGCAUAUCUAGCAUCCUGUUUCUGCCUGCAGUUUCUCAGUAAAGUGUUUAAAAAUAUCAAAUCAGUUUAGUUUAUCAUGAAAGUUGUAGAGUAAGGUGCAGAAUUACUUAAGAUGAAAGAAAUAAGUAUAAAAAAGGGGGUGUUCUUUAUUC